GAACGCAUAUUGCGCUCUCUGGUAUUCCGGAGAGCAUGCUUGUUUGAGCGUCAUUAAAUACCACUCAAGCUCUUCUGCUUGGUCAUGGAAGAAGAGUAUGCUUGCAUCCUCUCUUCUGAAAUUGAAUGGCGGACCGCCUCAUGUGCCUCGCGUAGUAAGUUCAUCUUUUCGCUGGCAGCGUGAGACAGUCUCGCCAUCAACCCCCAUACUUCUAAGGUUGACCUCGGAUCAGGUAGGGAUACCCGCUGAACUUAAG
rnacentral:misc_RNA from 1 species